UACGAAGGGGGCUAGCGUUGCUCGGAAUCACUGGGCGUAAAGGGCGCGUAGGCGGACUCUUAAGUCGGGGUGAAAGCCCAGGGCUCAACCCUGGAAUUGCCUUCGAUACUGAGAGUCUUGAGUUCGGAAGAGGUUGGUGGAACUGCGAGUGUAGAGGUGAAAUUCGUAGAAUAUUCGCAAGAACACCAGUGGCGAAGGCGGC
rnacentral:rRNA from 1 species